rnacentral:ncRNA from 1 species
AUAAAGUUUUAUUUUAGCUUAAAAUUUUAUUUUUAAUUUAUUUUAUAUGUAAAUUUUUGUGAGAAUAUAUAAUUAUUUUAAAAAUAAUUUUAUUUUAUUUUAUUCGCAGUAAUUAAUAUUAUUAAUUAAAGAAAUUUAGAAAUAGUAAUAUUAAAGAGUAUUGGUUAAAUUUGUGCCAGCAGCCGCGGUUAUACAAAUAAUACAAAUAAAUUUUAUUAGUUUAAGUUAAAUUAUAAUUUAAAAAUUUUAAAAUAGAUUUAUUAGGUUAAAUUUUAAAUUUAUAAAAAUUUUAAAUAAAAAUUUAUUGAAGCUUGAAAAUUUUAUUAUUAAACUAGGAUUAGAUACCCUAUUAUAAAAAUCUAAUUUAUUAAUUAAAGUAGUAUUAGAUAUAUUCUUGAAAUUUAAAAAAUUUGGCGGUAUUUUAGUCUAUUUAGAGGAAUCUGUUCUAUAAUCGAUAAUCCACGAUGGACCUAACUUAAAUUUGUAAUCAGUUUAUAUACCGUCGUUAUAAGAAUGUUUUAUAAGAAAAAUAAUUUUCUUUAAUUUUUAUUAAAAUAUAUAUCAGAUCAAGGUGUAGCUUAUAUUUAAGAAGAAAUGGAUUACAAUAAAUUUAUUUUUGGAUUUAAAUUUGAAAUAGUUUAUUAAAAUUGGAUUUAAAUGUAAAAUUAUAAAGAUUAAUAAUUUGAUUUUAGCUCUAAAAUAUGUACACAUCGCCCGUCGCUCUUAUUAUUAAGGUAAGAUAAGUCGUAACAUAGUAGAUGUACCGGAAGGUGUAUCUAGAAUGA